AGCAUAUCAAUAAGCGGAGGAAAAGAAACUAACAAGGAUUCCCCUAGUAACUGCGAGUGAAGCGGGAACAGCUCAAAUUUAAAAUCUGUCAGUCUUUGGCUGUCCGAGUUGUAAUCUAGAGAAGCGUUAUCCGCGCUGGACCGUGUACAAGUCUCCUGGAAUGGAGCGUCAUAGAGGGUGAGAAUCCCGUCUUUGACACGGACUGCCAGGGCUUUGUGAUGCGCUCUCAAAGAGUCGAGUUGUUUGGGAAUGCAGCUCAAAAUGGGUGGUAAAUUCCAUCUAAAGCUAAAUAUUGGCGAGAGACCGAUAGCGAACAAGUACCGUGAGGGAAAGAUGAAAAGAACUUUGGAAAGAGAGUUAAACAGUACGUGAAAUUGCUGAAAGGGAAACGCUUGAAGUCAGUCGCGUUGUCCAGGGAUCAACCUUGCUUUUGCUUGGUGUACUUUCUGGUUGACGGGUCAGCAUCAAUUUUGACUAUUGGAAAAAGAUCAGGGGAAUGUGGCAUCCUUUGGAUGUGUUAUAGCCUCUGGUUGCAUACAAUGGUUGGGAUUGAGGAACUCAGCACGCCGCAAGGCCGGGUUUUUAACCACGUACGUGCUUAGGAUGCUGGCAUAAUGGCUUUAAUCGACCCGUCUUGAAACACGGACCAAGGAGUCUAACAUGCCUGCGAGUGUUUGGGUGGAAAACCCGAGCGCGUAAUGAAAGUGAAAGUUGAGAUCCCUGUCGUGGGGAGCAUCGACGCCCGGACCAGACCUUCUGUGACGGCUCCGCGGUAGAGCAUGUAUGUUGGGACCCGAAAGAUGGUGAACUAUGCCUGAAUAGGGUGAAGCCAGAGGAAACUCUGGUGGAGGCUCGUAGCGAUUCUGACGUGCAAAUCGAUCGUCAAAUUUGGGUAUAGGGGCGAAAGACUAAUCGAACCAUCUAGUAGCUG
rnacentral:rRNA from 1 species